UACGGAGGGUGCAAGCGUUGUCCGGAUUUAUUGGGCUUAAAGGGUGCGUAGGUGGCCUUAUAAGUCAGCGGUGAAAGUCUGCAGCUUAACUGUAGAACUGCCAUUGAUACUGUAAGGCUUGAGUACUGAUGAGGUAGGCGGAAUUGAUAGUGUAGCGGUGAAAUGCAUAGAUAUUAUCAAGAACACCGAUUGCGAAGGCAGCUUACUAAGGAGUUACUGACACUGAGGCACGAAAGCGUGGGGAUCAAACAGG
rnacentral:rRNA from 1 species